UCUCCGUAGGUGAACCAGCGGAGGGAUCAUUACCGAGUGCAAACUCAUAACCCUUUGUGAACCUAUAUCUGUUGCUUCGGCGGCUCGCUCUCGGGCGAGCCCGCCGGUAAUAUCAGUAUCUCUGUUUGAACCCGACGAUACUUCUGAGUGUUCUUAGCGAACAGUUAAAACUUUUAACAACGGAUCUCUUGGCUCUA
rnacentral:misc_RNA from 1 species